rnacentral:lncRNA from 1 species
AAGGGUUCACUAGGCCAAUUGGGAGGCGAAAAUCUUGAGGCAACAAGCACAAUGGCGUCAUCAUCUCGUAUCGAUCAUCACCACCAUGACCAUAAAGGCUGAUAAGAUUUGCAAAAGACAAUCUUUAUUCAUAUUUUUCUUUGUAUCAAUGACAUAAUAAUAAUCAUUACCGAAAGAGUGUGCAAAAAAGUUAAUCAACUUGAUGUUUGUUAAAUAACCAAGUCAUGCCUCUAAUUUCUUCAAAUGUUUUUUUUUAUAUCUGGUGAAUGUUGAUGUACUUCUAACCUUUGUGUAUGCAACCAUUCCUCCUCAUGAUGAACUGCUUUACAAAGAAACUUUCAUAACUAUAAUAUAAUCUAAUUCAGACAGCUUCACCUAUGACUCUAAAGAGAUUCAGCACUUAAAAGGAAAAAGAAAACAGAUAAAGGAAACACACAUAAAUAACAAGAACAAAGAAUAUUCUUUUGACUGUCAGCCCUAAGCAAUUGGAAUAAUAUGCAACUCACUCGUUCCAGUUGGUGUGAAACUAAUUCAUUAGUCCCUUCGAAAAAGAAGACACAUAUCUUAUUUGAAAAUAAUUAACUUACACUUCUACUUUUACCCCUAAUUAUAAGCUUUUAUAACCAAUUUAGAGGCAUAUUUAAGUCCAACAAGUUUAAAAGUUUUAUAAACACACAAAUUCUAUGAUAUAUUUGAGACGACAAGUAUCAAAAAUAGUCAUUUCUUUCUUAAACUAUGUCACAUGGAUAACUAAAUAACCGAUUUAGUAAAAAAGUAAAGAGGUACAAAAUGUAGUAGAGCAGGGCAGGGAAGCUGAUGUAAACAAGGAUAGAGAAGGAAUCAGCAUGUAUUGAUUAUCUUAAUCAUCCAGAUAUGUGUCCUAGAAGCUCAGCACGGCCAAACAUGGCAGCACCAGGAGUACAAUCCGGUCACAAUAUCCAUCAUAAGUACCUGCUAUAUUUCAUCAUUUUCCACUAUAUCCAUUGUUUAGAUUAAUUAACACAAGAUUAGUUCAUCUUUAGUAUGAGGGUAAAAGAGAUUGCUCUUUUAAGCAUAAGUGCAGAAUCAUCCCCUCAUUCCGGAACAGAAGUAGAAGCAGAAAAGGAAUAAUAGCGUAGAGGACAGAAACAGAAAUAAAACUGCAGAGUCCACCUGAAUGAAGAAGAACAAGAAGAAUACCGGGAGACUAAACUGGAGCGUGCAGCCUCAGCAGCCCGAGCCCCAAUCAAGA